rnacentral:rRNA from 1 species
UAUCAACGCUGGCGGCGUGCCUCAGACAUGCAAGUCGAACGAUUAGAGCUCUCUUCGGAGAGUGCAUAGAGUGGCGCACGGGUGAGUAACACGUAAGUAAUCUACCUUCGAGUGGGGAAUAACGUCCGGAAACGGACGCUAAUACCGCAUAACGCAGCGGCAUCGCAAGAUGACAGUUGUUAAAGAUUUAUCGCUUGAAGAGGAGCUUGCGGCAGAUUAGCUUGUUGGUAAGGUAACGGCUUACCAAGGCUACGAUCUGUAACCGGUCUAAGAGGACGGUCGGUCACACUGACACUGAAUAACGGGUCAGACUCCUACGGGAGGCAGCAGUCGGGAAUUUUGGGCAAUGGGGGAAACCCUGACCCAGCAACGCCGCGUGAAGGAUGAAGUA